AAAAAACAAUGACAAAAGAUCAGGCGACUCGCACGCACGAGCGAGGCCUCCAGAUCCCUUCGCCACCGCCCGACGCCGCCAGCCCCGUCCUCCUCCCUGGCUCCCGGCGCCGCCCGCCCCCCAUCUCCUCCUGCGAUCCUGGCGUCGCCCCGCCCCACCUUCUCCCUCACUCCCGGCGCCACCCCGCCCCCACCUUCUCCCUCACCACUGGCGCCGCCCAACCCCCAACCUUCCUGGAUCCCGGCGCUGCCCCGCCCCCACCUCCUCCCUCGCUCCCGGCCGCCCAUGCCUCCUAUGCACGCCCCUCCCUCAGCCCACCGGCGACCUCCCAUCCUCCACCGUCUACCCCACCGUCGGAUCUCCUCCUCCCCUCUCCUUCUCUCCCUCGCGGAUGCGUCAAACCCACGAAAUUUCCCUCCUCACGGCCGGAACCCUAGCUCGCGCCUGUGGGGACUGGGCUGGAGGUGCGGCACGGGAUUCGCACCGCAGGAUUCACCAGCGACGAGUCCAACAGGUCGUCGAAUCGGGGAACGGGAUGGCGCACCCUGCUGCAGCCGCCGGUCGGGACGAGCGCGGCGGCGACGAACGUCGGUGCGCCUCCGUUUCCUCGACAUCCAAGGACGCGGGCGCCGGAUUUGUUCUCGCCUGACCAGCCUCGGUAUCCAGCUCCCUACAGCCACCGCCGGCGUCGACUCCCAAGGCGAGGAUGACAACGACGCCAAAGAUGACGAGGCCCCGAGCUCGAGCACGACCACUACGACGCACUGCACAAAGGCCCCUGCUUCCUGCCUGCCCUUCCCUUUGCUUGGAAGAUAGCUCUCUUCAGAUGUUGUUCCUGUCCUUCUCCUUGGUUGUUGAGCGCUGCACUCACUCAUGUAUGCAGGUUGAGUCCAAGCACAAGUAAGCACCAUUAUUAGGCGAGAAGACGACGGUGACGCAGAGGAGGAUGAGGACCCGCGCUCCAGCCCGACCACGACUAUGCACCGCACGGUCCCUGCUUCCUGGCUGUCGCCAAUUGCCCCCUUCCCUUUACAGUACUACUCUAUUUGUUUUCAUUGCUUUUCACCCAGUUUUGCACACUUUCUGGCCCUUCACUUUUUUGUGUGCAAAUGUUCUGAUCGCCUCCAUAUGGCUGUUUCCGUCCUCCUGCUCAUGCUGUCUCCAUCCUCCUGCUCAAGCCGUCGCCAUCGCCUCCCAUCCUUCAUGGCCUGCGUGUGUGCGCCCACUGUUGGAGGACGACGUUGAACAUGAAGCGGAGCCCAGCCGGAGCAGUCUGACGCGGUGGUCGUCGCCAAGGAGCGGUGGUCGAUGCCAUGUAGCAGGGGCCCUCGGUCGCCUGCACACCGGCUGCGUUCUGAACUAAUGCUUUCUGCAACUGCAAUGUUCCCCUCCACAUUGUAUCUUGUGUAGGCAGAAGGAAUGCAGCUCAGUGACGGCGUCGGCUACAACUGGAUCGAUGGCCUGAAGGCUUUUACUAAGAAGAUGAAGAAUGUUAUAGAACAGUGUCCAUCAACAAAGAGUCCUACUACUACCGGUUGGAGAGGCUCUAUCCUCAGGUGAUUGAUUACUUAAGAAGUAUACUGAAUUAUGAUAUCCAUCGAUCUAAUUUUGUAUAGGAAUUUUGAAAAACUAAAGAAUCUGUGGUACAUGAUUUGAUUUACUCAUUUAGAUUUUAGUAAAUUGUGAACGGAAGUUUUUUUCACAAAACCAGUGCACCACCCUUUCUACACACAUCAUUCAUGGAUUGGCAGACUAAAGGUUCUAUUCAACAUCUUUGGUGGAUUGCAUAAAUGGGCUAGAGUAAAAAUAGACCAGAAUUGUUAUAUGUGCUUAGGGAAGUGGGAUUAGAUCAAGAUUUUUUUGACAAAAUGAGAAAUCAAUGGCUCAAGGAGAGUAAGCCCAAAGAGAUAAGUAUUGUUUUCCUUUAGUAGCUUGCCGCAUAAUUCAUUCAAACAUAUUUAGAGUGGAGCAGGAAUAUUCAAACAAGGAAAUGUACACAAUAUCUGUUAGUAUACAUGUGACACUUUCCCGUCUUUCGACUAAUGAUUGCCUCCUGCCAGGUAUCACUAAUAGCACAUUCAUCACAUCAUUUGUGUAGCUCAUUCUGGUGUAAGUCGGGCCAAUUUAGAAAAGAUUUUAAAGCAUAUUCAUACAGGUUAUAGAAGUCAGAGUCAAAUAGUAUAAUAAGUGAUUUGUUUGUGCAGAAUUUCUAAUUGAUCGUCUUCUAAGGAUAAAUGGAACUGCUACCUUUCCUCUCUCCAAUAAACUAUUAGACCCUGCUUGUAACUAUUUUUCAUCUUGGUGUGAUUUAUAAGGGAGGCCAUGCCAUUAGUUUUUUGUUAUUACAUGCUGUGAUGACCCCGAUUCAUUGAUGUAUAGUUUCGUAUGUGGUCAAUUACCUAAUACGGUAGUUACACUUCUCCUGGUUUGCCUUGGUCUGAAAUCUGACUUUUGGACUGAUUGUAGUCAAUCUGAAUUAGUGAGGUUCUUUUUUCCAACUGUCCAUGUUCAGUUCUCUACAUUAUCAUGCAUUUUCUUUGGUUUAAAGAUGUCAUGAUGUUCACCAAGGCAGAGAAGAAAUGUUUUAAAGUUGUCCCUUCAAUUGAAACAAGUAUGACUUGGUCCUUAGUGCCUAUGCAGACAUGAAAACGGAAGGUCGAGAGGUUUAAAUAUGUCAUGAUGUUUACAAUUGCGGAUAUCCUGCUUCAGACUUAAUAACAGACACUAUGACAAUGGCUCAAGAGAUAUCAGAUCUACCUUCUUGGAUGGGGGCGUUAUGGGUGGCGCACGCCUCGGCCCCCUUGAUGGCCGUGGUGGAUGGACAUGAACACGAGGGGGGAUCAGGGCGGAGAGCAGGGUGGUUGGCGGGGGACUCAUCCUUGGCAGUUCAUGGGAAAGUAUGGUGUGAAGCAGAGGGGGCGCCAUGGCGAAGGUGAGGUAGCCGUCAUCCGGUCAUCUGUACUCCUAAUGUCUCAGUUGGUAGUCUCCGCUCACCGGUUAAAUUUCGUCCCACCAACACCGGUUUUUUUCGUCCUCCCUCCCACCUCCCACUCCCAGCUAUUCCCACCGGCUUUAUUUUAUGUGAUCUGAAUCUGAGCGAGUCUUAAAUUUUGGUGCAGUGUGAAAGGAGGAAAAUGAUCGCCGGAAAGCAGGUAGAUCUACACCUUGAGAGAUGGCAUUUUGCGGUACAUUGUUUAGGUAAGGAUAUUGUGCUUUCUUCUGAAAACUCUGGACUGUACAUUGAGUUGUGUUCCAUUUUUUAAAAAUUACUUAGAAUCCUGCUUCUGGCAAUACUACUAUGAACUGGCAUACCUCGUGAUCAUGAGAGGAUGACAAGUUCCUGAUCCCCAAGAACGCCCUCAUGUGCGGCUGCCGGUCGUCGGACAAGACAUCUCUGACUGACUUAGCCACACAGCGAACCUAAGUUCGUCAUGGGAGGAUGUCACCUUGGACUGGAGCAACAGACGUCGAAAAUUUACUAGGAAAGAAGGCUCACAAAUAAGAGUGACCCAAACACAAAUUGUCGUACGUUUGCAAUUAAACUCUUAGUAGCAGCUUGAUUCUUACUAUUGUUACUUUGGUGGUGGGUAUAAUUAGUCAUGUAGUAGCAUCUUACCUUCACCUUUGGCGUGAACUUCUCAUACUAUAUAUAUUUGAUUGUGCAGAAUGGGUAUGAGUUGAGGAAGCAGUUUUUACUGUACUUGCUAAAACAUCGUGGGAAUGAAGCUAAAGAAAACUUUCCAGAUAUUGUGAAAGAAUUUCUUAAGCGCAUCAUCUAGAUAUUGAUAGUUUUGUAACAGAUGUUUAGUUCGAACAUCGCUCAGUUUGUUACAUGGACAUGUCGUUAAUCUUUAUUUUUGUUAUCAAUUUACAUUACAAAAUUGAACUUCAAUUAUUCAAUAAUUGUGUUUGUGUUAU